CACGUAGGGGGCAAGCGUUGUCCGGAUUCACUGGGUUUAAAGGGUGCGUAGGUGGGUUGGUAAGUCAGUGGUGAAAUCUCCGAGCUUAACUUGGAAACUGCCAUUGAUACUAUCAGUCUUGAAUAUUGUGGAGGUCAGCGGAAUAUGUCAUGUAGCGGUGAAAUGCUUAGAUAUGACAUAGAACACCAAUUGCGAAGGCAGCUGGCUACACAUAUAUUGACACUGAGGCACGAAAGCGUGGGGAUCAAACAGG
rnacentral:rRNA from 1 species